rnacentral:rRNA from 1 species
UACGUAGGGGGCAAGCGUUGUCCGGAUUUACUGGGCGUAAAGAGCGUGUAGGCGGCCACGCAGGUCCGUUGUGAAAACUGGAGGCUCAACCUCCAGCUGUCGACGGAAACCGUGUGGCUAGAGUCCGGAAGAGGAGAGUGGAAUUCCUGGUGUAGCGGUGAAAUGCGCAGAUAUCAGGAAGAACCCCAAUGGCGAAGACAGCCCUCUGGGACGGUACUGACGCUGAGACGCGAAAGCGUGGGGAGCGAACAGG